AUUGAACGCUGGCGGCAUGCCUUACACAUGCAAGUCGAACGGUAACAGGUCUUCGGAUGCUGACGAGUGGCGAACGGGUGAGUAAUACAUCGGAACGUGCCCGAUCGUGGGGGAUAACGAAGCGAAAGCUUUGCUAAUACCGCAUAAGAUCUACGGAUGAAAGCAGGGGACCGCAAGGCCUUGCGCGAACGGAGCGGCCGAUGGCAGAUUAGGUAGUUGGUGGGAUAAAAGCUUACCAAGCCGAAGAUCUGUAGCUGGUCUGAGAGGACGACCAGCCACACUGGGACUGAGACACGGCCCAGACUCCUACGGGAGGCAGCAGUGGGGAAUUUUGGACAAUGGGCGAAAGCCUGAUCCAGCCAUGCCGCGUGCAGGAUGAAGGCCUUCGGGUUGUAAACUGCUUUUGUACGGAACGAAAAGACUCUGGUUAAUACCUGGGGUCCAUGACGGUACCGUAAGAAUAAGCACCGGCUAACUACGUGCCAGCAGCCGCCGUAACAC
rnacentral:rRNA from 1 species